CGCUGGCGGCGUGCUUACACAUGCAAGUCAAGGGGGUCCGCAAGGGCAACCGGCGAACGGGUGCGUAACACGUGAGCAACCUGCCUUCGAGUGGGGGAUAGCCGGCCCAACGGCCGGGUAAUACCGCAUACGCUCAUCCUGCGGCAUCGUGGGGUGAGGAAACGUUUACGGCUCGGAGAGGGGCUCGCGGCCUAUCAGCUAGUUGGUGGGGUAAUGGCUUACCAAGGCGACGACGGGUAGCUGGUCUGAGAGGAUGGCCAGCCACAUUGGGACUGAGAAACGGCCCAGACUCCUACGGGAGGCAGCAGUGGGGAAUCUUGCGCAAUGGCCGAGAGGCUGACGCAGCGACGCCGCGUGGGGGAUGAAGCAUUUCGGUGUGUAAACCCCUGUUGCUCGGGACGAACGACCCUUUUCGAGGGGUGUGACGGUACCGAGUGAGGAAGCACCGGCUAACUCCGUGCCAGCAGCCGCGGUAAUACGGAGGGUGCGAGCGUUGUCCGGAAUCACUGGGCGUAAAGGGCGCGUAGGUGGUUGGAUGCGCCGGUGGUGAAAGCGCAGGGCUCAACCCUGCGUCGGCCAUCGGGACGGUCCGACUGGAGCACUGUAGAGGCAGGUGGAAUUCCGGGUGUAGCGGUGGAAUGCGUAGAGAUCCGGAAGAACACCGGUGGCGAAGGCGGCCUGCUGGGCAGUUGCUGACACUGAGGCGCGACAGCGUGGGGAGCAAACAGGAUUAGAUACCCUGGUAGUCCACGCCGUAAACGAUGGGCACUANGUGCUUGGGGGAGCGACCCCCUGAGUGCCGACGCUAACGCAUUAAGUGCCCCGCCUGGGGAGUACGACCGCAAGGUUGAAACUCAAAGGAAUCGACGGGGGCCCGCACAA
rnacentral:rRNA from 1 species